UACAAUGUAUGUUUUAUUCGUUCACGUUCGCUGAAUUUAUAAAUUCUUUGCCUAUGUGAGGUUAAUUGUCUAUUCACAAUUCAUGCUUAAUAUAUCAGUGUUACGUGGAAAUGCAAUUGCUACUUGCAUUGACUUUUUUCUUGUUUGCGUUGUUAUGUUUCCUGCUGUCGAAAUCUGUACUGUGGGCAGACUAAAGAUGAGGAUGUCUACAAUAUGACUAUGACAAUGUUGGUUUCUAAUAGCAAAAAAGUCUGAAAAAAGCAGCUCAACAAAAUUCAUUCUGAGUGUUGUCCCGCUCCUCUCUAUCCUCCAUCUAUAAACAUGAGUUGUUCAGAUCUGCGAAAGAAGAGAAGGGGACAAAUCUAGGGGAAAAGUUUGGUGAAAAAGAAGAAUGAGGAUUUUGAGGCUGCUCCGCCGUUCCAUUUGGUUUAGCUUCCCAAAAUCAAAGGGACAGGUCGUUUGGUCAUCUUUAUUCUUCACACAGAUAUGCACAGGCAGAGCACAACAGCAUUCCAAACCGAGGCUGCUCAGCAUGUUUUGGUGUCCAGCAGAUUCCUUCUUUUCUCAUGUUUACUGUUGGCAUUAGCAUUUGUUUCAAGUGAUGUUUAUUCUCGUAUUUGUAAAGCAUUGAUUCAUUCAGUUCAGUAGCACCCAGCCUGGUGUAAUGUUUCUGAUUCUUGUGAA